CCCCUCCUCCAUCAGAGCUGUGGGAGGCUAGGGGCCACCCUCUGCAGAAUCAGCCCAGUGUUCCAGACUGGUGAUUGGCCAGAAGAGACUGAAGUCAUAUACCGGUUACAGCAGGGAGACCCAAGGUACAGCCAGAGCUCCUCUUUGGAGAUACUGAGCUGAAAGUGGUCACUGAUUGCUGCUAUCUCGGAAAUGUGCUGACAACUGAGGCUCUGCUAAGAAAAAGAAGUAGAAAUCUAUCAAGACGGCCAGGAAGUCUGUUGGCAAAAAGGUUAGCAAGCUGGAUAUGCACGGGUAAACCUGCAACAGAAGGGCAGAUGGAGAGGAAACAAUGCCUGCACAUCCAGUUCAGCCAGAAUGACUCAGAAAGAUGGACCUUAGCCCCUUUCCAUGAAAACAUAAUUGUUGCACCACAACCUUACGUAGAAUUUUAAAAGCACUUGGGGAUCAGUUUUCAAGAUGACUUAAAGAUGUGAAGAUUCCAGAAGAAUGGAAAACAUCAUGGGUGGAAUGAGGACUAUUCUUUAUUUUCAUAUUUUCCAUGGAUUCUCCUGGGGAUUCAUCAUCUAGUUUCCAGCCUCCUGGCAGUGACCCUCUCCAUAUUUAUUGAAGCUGGACCACACACACCACAGUCUUUCACUCAAACUUGUAGUCAAAGUAUUCCAACUUUAUAGAACUUUUUUGAGUUUAUGUUCCUCAGGAAUAGUCUUUGAGAAUCCAGGUUCCCAUCUAUGGAGGCAAAUAACUUUAAUACAGACUAUUAUAUGAUAAGUGCAUAAAACAUGCACAAACAAAACAUGACAUGAAUUUGAGGCAGCUAGGUGGUACAGUAGUUAAAGUGUUAGCCCUGGAGUCAGGGAG